AUUGAACGCUGGCGGCAGGCCUAACACAUGCAAGUCGAGCGGAUGAAGGGAGCUUGCUCCUGGAUUCAGCGGCGGACGGGUGAGUAAUGCCUAGGAAUCUGCCUGGUAGUGGGGGAUAACGUCCGGAAACGGGCGCUAAUACCGCAUACGUCCUGAGGGAGAAAGUGGGGGAUCUUCGGACCUCACGCUAUCAGAUGAGCCUAGGUCGGAUUAGCUAGUUGGUGGGGUAAAGGCCUACCAAGGCGACGAUCCGUAACUGGUCUGAGAGGAUGAUCAGUCACACUGGAACUGAGACACGGUCCAGACUCCUACGGGAGGCAGCAGUGGGGAAUAUUGGACAAUGGGCGAGAGCCUGAUCCAGCCAUGCCGCGUGUGUGAAGAAGGUCUUCGGAUUGUAAAGCACUUUAAGUUGGGAGGAAGGGCAGUAAGUUAAUACCUUGCUGCUUUGACGUUACCAACAGAAUAAGCACCGGCUAACUUCGUG
rnacentral:rRNA from 1 species